rnacentral:rRNA from 1 species
UACGAAGGGGGCUAGCGUUGUUCGGAAUUACUGGGCGUAAAGCGAACGUAGGCGGUGUUCCAUGUCAGAGGUGAAAGCCUGGGGCUCAACUCCAGAAUUGCCUUUGAAACGGGGACGCUUGAGUCCGAGAGAGGAUGGCGGAAUUCCAAGUGUAGAGGUGAAAUUCGUAGAUAUUAGGAAGAACACCAGUGGCGAAGGCGGCCAUCUGGCUCGGUACUGACGCUCAGGUUCGAAAGCGUGGGGAGCAAACAGG